UGAAAAUAAGUGUGAAGGAAAGAAUUUGACUUCUAAUUUUUGGUUUUUUUCUUUUGAUGUAAUUGGAUAUUAGUGAAUUGUUUUGGGAAUUGGUUUGGAUUGUAAUUUUAUUUGAAAUUUGGAUAAUGGUUAAUUGAAUAAUUGGAUUUUGGUGUGAAUUGGAUUGAAGUGGUUUUAGUGGACAUAAAUGGAUCAAAAAAGGAUUAAAAGAGGAUUAAAAAAAUAAGAUUUGAU
rnacentral:lncRNA from 1 species